rnacentral:rRNA from 1 species
UGGGGAAUUUUGGACAAUGGGCGAAAGCCUGAUCCAGCAAUGCCGCGUGUGUGAAGAAGGCCUUCGGGUUGUAAAGCACUUUUGUCCGGAAAGAAAUCCUUGGCCCUAAUACAGUCGGGGGAUGACGGUACCGGAAGAAUAAGCACCGGCUAACUACGUGCCAGCAGCCGCGGUAAUACGUAGGGUGCAAGCGUUAAUCGGAAUUACUGGGCGUAAAGCGUGCGCAGGCGGUUUGCUAAGACCGAUGUGAAAUCCCCGGGCUCAACCUGGGAACUGCAUUGGUGACUGGCAGGCUAGAGUAUGGCAGAGGGGGGUAGAAUUCCACGUGUAGCAGUGAAAUGCGUAGAGAUGUGGAGGAAUACCGAUGGCGAAGGCAGCCCCCUGGGCCAAUACUGACGCUCAUGCACGAAAGCGUGGGGAGCAAACAGGAUUAGAUACCCUGGUAGUCCACGCCCUAAACGAUGUCAACUAGUUGUUGGGGAUUCAUUUCCUUAGUAACGUAGCUAACGCGUGAAGUUGACCGCCUGGGGAGUACGGUCGCAAGAUUAAAACUCAAAUGAAUUGAC